UACGGAGGGAGCUAGCGUUGUUCGGAAUUACUGGGCGUAAAGCGCGCGUAGGCGGCUAUUCAAGUCAGAGGUGAAAGCCCGGGGCUCAACCCCGGAACUGCCUUUGAAACUAGGUAGCUAGAAUCUUGGAGAGGCGAGUGGAAUUCCGAGUGUAGAGGUGAAAUUCGUAGAUAUUCGGAAGAACACCAGUGGCGAAGGCGACUCGCUGGACAAGUAUUGACGCUGAGGUGCGAAAGCGUGGGAGCAAACAGG
rnacentral:rRNA from 1 species